GUGAUGGCAACGAGGAAGGAAGUGGACAGUGGUCACUAUUUACCCCUUAGUUCCAAGGUUCUGAUCACUUUAACUGCUGCAGUGAAAGGAGAGCGAGGAUGAGGGAGGCAUUCAUUGACGAAGUCCCACUGGUGGGGGAAUGAGGAGUGGUUGUGAG